GCGUGUUGCCCAUUGGCCUCCUGCAGCCUGGGACUCAGCUAAAGCUGGAGCACUAAGCAGGAAGCACCCAGGAGGCUGGCUCCCUAAAAGUGCCCCAGCAUGUGACCAGCGCAGAGGAUCAUGGGAAACCAUCUCCGGAUGUGGUCUUGGGGAGUUUUGUUGCACCCUGGGUCUCUCCCUCACAUGCAUAGCAAACGUCUCCAGCCAACGAGGAGCCAUCGGGUGAUCGCAUCCAGCCAGAGGUGAGAAGAGAUGCAAUGGCUGAUGAGGGCUCUGGGACCCCAAGUCUCAGGUUCCCUACAUAGCCUGCCACCUGGUCUACACCCCAACUUUGGAAUGAUUACAGUCACCGGGAGAGCCCUCAGACUGCCAGGCACAGAGCAUCACUGCCCAGAAUGUGUGAGAUACUUCGGGCAUGUUGGUGU